rnacentral:rRNA from 1 species
GAUGAACGCUGGCGGCGUGCCUAAUACAUGCAAGUCGAGCGAACGGACGAGAAGCUUGCUUCUCUGAUGUUAGCGGCGGACGGGUGAGUAACACGUGGAUAACCUACCUAUAAGACUGGGAUAACUUCGGGAAACCGUAGCUAAUACCGGAUAAUAUUUUGAACCGCAUGGUUCAAAAGUGAAAGACGGUCUUGCUGUCACUUAUAGAUGGAUCCGCGCUGCAUUAGCUAGUUGGUAAGGUAACGGCUUACCAAGGCAACGAUGCAUAGCCGACCUGAGAGGGUGAUCGGCCACCCUGGAGCUGAGACACGGUCCAGACUCCUACGGGAGGCAGCAGUAGGGAAUCUUCCGCAAUGGGCGAAAGCCUGACGGAGCAACGCCGCGUGAGUGAUGAAGGUCUUCGGAUCGUAAAACACUGUUAUUAGGGAAGAACAUAUGUGUAAGUAACUGUGCACAUCUUGACGGUACCUAAUCAGAAAGCCACGGCUAACUACGU